rnacentral:tRNA from 1 species
AGCUUUAUAUUCAAUAAUGAUAUAAAAUUGCAAAUUUUAAGGAAUAUUUAAUAAAUAUUAAGGCUU